rnacentral:rRNA from 1 species
GGCCGCGGUAUUAUAACCGUGCGAAGGUAGCGUAAUCACUUGUCUUUUAAAUAAAGACCUGUAUGAAUGGCAAAACGAGAGUUCAACUGUCUCUCAAUCCUAAUCAAUGAAACUGAUCUUCCCGUGCAGAAGCGGGAGUAUUAAUAUAAGACGAGAAGACCCUAUGGAGCUUUAAACAUAACCUAUCUAAUUUAAUAUUAUUAAUCAAAAGAUCGAAUAUAUAAUUUUUAGACAUAGCUCAAGUUUUCGGUUGGGGCGACCACGGAAUAUAAUUUAACUUCCGAGAUGAAUAAAACUAGAAUGACAGUUCAAAAUAAUAAAUCUUUUAUCACAAUUGACCCAAUUUUUGAUCAACGAACCAAGUUACCCUAGGGAUAACAGCGCAAUCCUUUCUAAGAGUUCCUAUCGACGAAUGGGUUUACGACCUCGAUGUUGGAUCAGGACAUCCUAAUGGUGCAGAAGCUAUUAAA